rnacentral:rRNA from 1 species
CCUACGGGUGGCUGCAGUAGGGAAUCUUCGGCAAUGGGGGGAACCCUGACCGAGCAACGCCGCGUGAGUGAAGAAGGUUUUCGGAUCGUAAAGCUCUGUUGUUAGAGAAGAACGAGUGUGAACGUGGAAAGUUCACACUGUGACGGUAUCUUACCAGAAAGGGACGGCUAACUACGUUCCCACAGCCGCGGUAAAACGUAGGUCCCGAGCGUUAUCCGGAUUUAUUGGGCGUAAGGCGAGCGCAGGCGGUUAGUUAAUGCGGAAGUUAAAGGCGGUGAGUUAACCAGAGUACGCUUUGGAAACUGUUUAACUUGAGUGCAGAAGGGGAGAGUGGAAUUCCAGGUGUAGCGGUGAAAUGCGUAGAUAUAUGGAGGAACACCGGUGGCGAAAGCGACUCUCUGGUCUGUAACUGACGCUGAGGCUCGAAAGCGUGGGGAGCAAACAGGAUUAGAUACCCGGGUAGUC